AUUGAACGCUGACGGAAUGCUUUACACAUGCAAGUCGAACGGUAGAGGGGGCAACCCCUCGAGAGUGGCGAACGGGUGAGUAAUAUAUCGGAACGUGCCCAGUCGUGGGGGAUAACGUAGCGAAGGUUACGCUAAUACCGCAUACGAUCUAAGGAUGAAAGCGGGGGAUCGCAAGACCUCGCGCGAUUGGAGCGGCCGAUAUCAGAUUAGGUAGUUGGUGGGGUAAAGGCUCACCAAGCCAACGAUCUGUAGCUGGUCUGAGAGGACGACCAGCCACACUGGAACUGAGACACGGUCCAGACUCCUACGGGAGGCAGCAGUGGGGAAUUUUGGACAAUGGACGCAAGUCUGAUCCAGCCAUUCCGCGUGCAGGAUGAAGGCCCUCGGGUUGUAAACUGCUUUUGUACGGAACGAAAAGGUCUCUCUUAAUACGGGGGGCUCAUGACGGUACCGUAAGAAUAAGCACCGGCUAACUACGUGCCAGCCGCCGCGGUAA
rnacentral:rRNA from 1 species